GGGGCUCCCGGAGAUUGGGGGCCCAAGAGCUCGGCCAGGAUAAAUGAGCGGGCUGCCGGCUGCAGACAGUAGGGGUCCCUGACCUCCAGGCAAGGUCCAAGAGGAGCUCUCUCCACCCUCUUGCCAGUUUCCAGGAAGAAGAACAGAGCCCAGCCCACCUGGGCAUCUAUCUUCCUGUAGAAAAGAGGCAGGCAGAGCUGAGGGGCCUUCCCAAGGAAGCCCCCAUCACCGCCUCAGAUGAAGUGGUCCCUGCUGAAUGCUUUGCUGGGGUCUACGAGGCAAUUCAAGAUGAGAAAUGGAACGGUGGCUUCGGAAAAGCAAAUCAUUCCAACAGCACCUGAAAACAUCGAAGGAAACAAGCUCUUUUUGUGUGUGUGGAAAUGGGGAAUAUAUUGUUUCUCACUGUUUCGAA
rnacentral:lncRNA from 1 species